rnacentral:rRNA from 1 species
GCCGGCGCACGGGUGCGUAACACGUUUGCAAUCUACCUCUAACUGGGGGAUAGCCUUCCGAAAGGAAGAUUAAUACCGCAUAAUACUAAGUUGUGGCAUCACAGCAUAGUCAAAACUCCGGUGGUUAGAGAUGGGCAUGCGCGACAUUAGCUAGUUGGUGAGGUAACGGCUCACCAAGGCGACGGUGUCUAGGGGGUCUGAGAGGAUGAUCCCCCACACUGGUACUGAGACACGGACCAGACUCCUACGGGAGGCAGCAGUAAGGAAUAUUGGUCAAUGGGGGCAACCCUGAACCAGCCACGCCGCGUGCAGGAUGAAUGCCCUAUGGGUAGUAAACCGCUUUUGUACGGGAAGAAACCACUCUAUGCGUAGGGUGUUGACGGUACUGUAAGAAUAAGGAUCGGCUAACUUUGUGCCAGCAGCCGCGGUAAUACGAAGGAUCCAAGCGUUAUCCGGAUUUAUUGGGUUUAAAGGGUGCGUAGGCGGCUUAUUAAGUCAGAGGUGAAAGCCUGGAGCUUAACUCCAGAACUGCCUUUGAUACUGAUGAGCUUGAAUAUAGUUGAGGUAGGCGGAAUGUGUUAUGUAGCGGUGAAAUGCUUAGAUAUGACACAGAACACCGAUUGCGAAGGCAGCUUGCUAAACUAUAAUUGACGCUGAGGCACUAAAGCGUGGGGAUCAAACAGGAUUAGAUACCCUGGUAGUCCACGCCCUAAACGUUGAUAACUCGCUGUUGGCGAUAUACAGUCAGCGGCCAAGCGAAAGCGAUAAGUUAUCCACCUGGGAAGUACGGUCGCAAGAUUGAAACUCAAAGGAAUUGACGGGGGCCCGCACAAGCGGUGGAGCAUGUGGNUUAAUUC